CUACCUAACACCCCCAAAUUUGUUAUUCCUUACUUUUCUUACUCAGAGAAGAAUUUUAUUUGUAGAUGAUAUUUCUUUGGAUAAGAUUUGACAAUGUUAAUAAAGUCAAGAUUUCCUCCCAAAAGUUCUAGUCUUCAAAAUUAAUUUUCUGGCAUCCACCUCAAUUGUCCCUAACUCCCUUCUAUGGUUAUCUCUGGUGACCUUAUAAAAGAUAUAGUGUGUUCUUGUUCUGUCUGUAUUUUGCAUCAUCAAAAUUAUUCUCAGGAAAAGGCCUAGUAAAUGUGUUUAUAUUAAAACAUUAAAGACAGAUAGGAACUGAUACUGCAAUCCUUGUGAGAAUCUUUUCCUUCCAAGGGACAAAAGGAUUUAAGCCAAAAUGACAAAUCUUUUAUUGCAGGAUUUCAGGCACUGAUGAAAUUUUAAUGGGUCAAAUGUAUAUGUUGUGAAGUUUUAAUUUUAUUCACUCAUUGACUUAUUUAUAUUUUUUAUUUUUAUUUUUUUUUCAAAUUUAUUAUACUUUAAGUUCUGGGGUACAUGUGCAGAUAAUGCAGUUUUGAAGAUAUAUUUAAUUUUAAAAGAGAGAUUUCAUUAUUAAGUAAUCCCCACAUUUAAGGAAAUCUUAUUUUAAAAAGGUACAUACACAUAUUAAAAGAAAAUAUAGAAAGUGCUGUUUAUCUACAUUUGUAUUUAUUUUAUUUUUUAUAACUAUCUCUCUAUCUCAUCUAUUUUCUUACCUAUCUCUAGGGAAACCCAGGAGAAGAGGUAAUGCAUUCUGUCUGAAACCAACAGAAAAGAUUUAGACGGUGGUGGUUACACUAAAAGCCCAGUCUUCACCAUUACAGAAUAUAUACAGGUAACAAAACUGCUCUUGUACCCCUUAAAUUUACACAAAAUUAACGACAUGGUUUGGCUGUUUCCCCUCCCAAAUCUUACCUUGAAUUAUAGCUCCCACAACUCCCAUGGGAGGGACUCAGGGGGAGGUAAUUGAAUCAUGGGGUUGGGCCUUUUCCUUGCUAGUCU
rnacentral:lncRNA from 1 species